rnacentral:rRNA from 1 species
AACCGAGAACUCCUACGGGAGGCAGCAGUGGGGAAUCUUGCGCAAUGGGCGAAAGCCUGACGCAGCCAUGCCGCGUGAAUGAUGAGGGUCUUAGGAUUGUAAAAUUCUUUCACCGGGGACGAUAAUGACGGUACCCGGAGAAGAAGCCCCGGCUAACUUCGUGCCAGCAGCCGCGGUAAUACGAAGGGGGCUAGCGUUGCUCGGAAUUACUGGGCGUAAAGGGCGCGUAGGCGGAUCGUUAAGUCAGAGGUGAAAUCCCAGGGCUCAACCCUGGAACUGCCUUUGAUACUGGCGAUCUUGAGUAUGAGAGAGGUAUGUGGAACUCCGAGUGUAGAGGUGAAUUUCGUAGAUAUUCGGAAGGACACCAGUGGCGAAGGCGACAUACUGGCUCAUUACUGACGCUGAGGCGCGAAAGCGUGGGGAGCAAACAGGAUUAGAAACCCUGGUAGUCCGACUGAGA